CUACAGUACAAGCAGCGAGAAAAGCAUCUGUCACCACUACAGCGGGCGGCUGGGGGCCCCUCCCUGAGGCAGCACCGGUUCCCAGGUAGAGAGAGGAGAGAUGGGAGGAGAGUUCCCACCACACUCCUAACCGUUCUCACCGCAGCUCAUUGGUCGCUUGUUGCGUCAUCGCUGAAACACGACACUCCAACAGCAGUGCAGGCAGGUGUAUGUGGCUGCAGGGCAGAAGGCGCAGAACUGGAGGACACCCCUUGUUAGAUUCAGGCAGCCAGAUGGGCAGGAGAGGAGUGACAUGAACUGUGGUGCUUUAGAGAGAGGGAUGACUGGCUGUAGGGACCUGUCACUCACGUGCAGGGGGAGUCAAUGUGGAGCUUAAUGAAUCCUCCACAGCCACCAGUGGACAAGACGAAGCUCUGUGUGGACACCAGACUGCCAGACAGUACACCAUCCUGCCUCCUUUUCACUCUUUUUUUCAGUCUUUGCCUCUCUCAUGGCCACCACUUUCAUCCUGGUAAAGUUUAAGAAACACUUUUUAUGUAGUUCCCAAGCAGUUAAUUUUAUUUUCUGCCUUCACUUGAUGGUUUUCAUUUUAAAAGGAAGACAUGUCCAAAUUUCAAGGAAAACAUCUUUGAUUUAAAACAUGUACAUUUCAUAAAAUAACAAAUACAGUUUUACACAAGGUGUUCCUGGAUGGCAUACGAGAUGUUUACAACAAACUGUUGAGCUGUGGUGCCACAUAAAUAUCCCCUUGAGACAUGAGAUAAUUCAUUAAUAGAGUGGUCAUAUCUCUCUGGGAGGCGGGACACUGGUAACAAUAACACAUGAAAAUGAGACAGUUUGCUACUGUGGCUGCUGUAGUUAAUCAUCCCUCUGUCAAAUUAGCCUCCAGCCCUGCAUGGAGGACAGCACAGCAGAUAGACAGGGCAUCGUUAGCUGCACUGUGCAACAAAGGCCUAGCAAUGGGGAGGCUGCAGCUAUACUGGUAAUGUCAGGUCCCAGGUCAGCUUGGUCCAGAGCCAGUGGAAGCCCAUGCUGCGCUCUGCCUGUCCGGUGUUGUCAUAACAGAGCAGUUGUACUGUAUGAGGCCACGAGGAAAGACAAGACCGGCUGCACCCUCCUGAAGACAGGCAGAACAACAGGACCACACACUCGUUUCUCAUUAACAUCAGCCAAAGUAUUGUUCUUUUUUUUCUUCCCUUUCACAUGUUCUGAUACGGACCUACUCAGAGUAACAGAAUAAGCGUAAUGUAGCUUAAAUUACUCUGCCAUGGGGUGUCUGGGAAAGUUACUUCCAACAUGUAAUCAGUUUCAGAUUACACAUUGCUUCUUUGUAUUAGCUUUGUGAAUUUAUCCAUUGUGAUAACUUGGCAUAGAUAAUCCCAGUAAAUGAAAAAUCUAAUCCCUUGUCAUUUGUUUCUCUGUAAUACUGAAAGUUGUCUACUUGUU